rnacentral:piRNA from 1 species
UCCCUAGAGUUAUAUACAAAUGCGAUG